CUAUCUGCAUAGGUUGAGGUUUGGGGUUCCAUAGCCAAUGUGUUUCUUGGUGUUCUCGGAGUAAAUGGUUUUUCAAAUAGCUGAUUUAAGUUUGUAUUCUUAUGUUGUUUUUCACUAACUUGUUUGCUCGUACCUGCAGCUGUAUUUAAACAAACAUUAUGGGUUUUAAGGUGUUUCCCAACGUCACCUUUUAGAUCUGGAUUUUUAAAGUCUUCCGAUCGACUUAGCUUCGCAUUUUUAUAGUCAUGCUCCUGACUUCUUAUUUGUUGUAGCUCU
rnacentral:lncRNA from 1 species